GGAUGAAGAACGUAGCGAAAUGCGAUAAGUAGUGUGAAUUGCAGAAUUCCGUGAAUCAUCGAAUCUUUGAACGCACAUUGCGCCUCCUGGCGUUCCGGGAGGCAUGCCUGUUCGAGCGUCAUAAAAAAAAACCUCAAGCUUGAAUUCAUUCAUGACUUGGUAUUGGUAUUGGGGUGGACUCGAGCCAUUCCUAUCCGAAAUUCAAUGGCAAGGUUGUCUGUACCAACAAGUGUAGUGAUCGACAUUAUGUUUCACCGUUGUACAGAUCAACAUUCGCCGUUAACCCCUCAUUUCAAUCAAGUGUUUGACCUCGGAUCAGGCAGGGAUACCCGCUGAACUUAAGCAUAUCAAUAAGCGGAGGA
rnacentral:misc_RNA from 1 species